GGGAAGCAAUUCCAGGCCGAUGAGAAGAUGCACGAUUGCCAUUCAGCUGGUUGGUGGAGAAUUUGAACUGGAGAUGAACUUUAUUAUCCAGGAUGCUGAGAGUAUAAUACGCAUGACAGAGCUUUUAGAGCACUGUGAUGUAACAUGUCAAGCAGAAAUAGGGAGCAUGUUUACAGCCAUUCUAUGAAAAAGUGUUUGGAAUGUACAGACUAGCACAGAAGUUGGGCUAAUUAAACAAGUAUUGCUGAAAAUGAGUGCUGUAGAUGACAUGAGAGCAGGUAUGGGGUUGUCUGUUAGGAAAGUAUAACUUAAAAGUUUAUAAAGUUUCACAUACUUCUCUUUAUA
rnacentral:lncRNA from 1 species